rnacentral:rRNA from 1 species
AAUGAACGCUAGCGGGAUGCUUUACCCAUGCAAGUCGAACGAGUGGCGGACGGGUGAGUAAUAUAUCGGAACGCGGCCAGUAGCGGGGGAUAACUACUCGAAAGAGUGGCCAAUAACGCAUACUAUUGGAGUGGGCGAUAUUGGAUUAGCUAGUUGGUGGGGUAAAGGCUCACCAAGGCAACGAUCCGUAGCUGGUUUGAGAGGAAGACCAGCCACACUGGGACUGAGACACGGCCCAGACUCCUACGGGAGGCAGCAGUGGGGAAGUUUGGACAAUGGGGGAAACCCUGAUCCAGCCAUCCCGCGUGUAUGAGAAGGCCUUCGGGUUGUAAAGUACUUUUAGCGGGGAAGCGGUAUCUGCAGAAGAAGCACCGGCUAACUACGUGCCAGCAGCCGCGGUAAUAC